rnacentral:rRNA from 1 species
GGCUUAACCGGAGAAGUGCAUCGGGAAACUGGAUAACUUGAGUGCAGAAGAGGGUAGUGGAACUCCAUGUGUAGCGGUGGAAUGCGUAGAUAUAUGGAAGAACACCCAGUGGCGAAGGCGGCUACCUGGUCUGCAACUGACGCUGAGACUCGAAAGCAUGGGUAGCGAACAGGAUUAGAUACCCUGGUAGUCCAUGCCGUAAACGAUGAGUGCUAGGUGUUGGAGGGUUUCCGCCCUUCAGUGCCGGAGCUAACGCAUUAAGCACUCCGCCUGGGGAGUACGACCGCAAGGUUGAAACUCAAAGGAAUUGACGGGGGCCCGCACAAGCGGUGGAGCAUGUGGUUUAAUUCGAAGCUACGCGAAGAACCUUACCAGGUCUUGACAUCUUGCGCCAACCCUAGAGAUAGGGCGUUUCCUUCGGGAACGCAAUGACAGGUGGUGCAUGGUCGUCGUCAGCUCGUGUCGUGAGAUGUUGGGUUAAGUCCCGCAACGAGCGCAACCCUUGUUACUAGUUGCCAGCAUUAAGUUGGGCACUCUAGUGAGACUGCCGGUGACAAACCGGAGGAAGGUGGGGACGACGUCAGAUCAUCAUGCCCCUUA